UACGGGGGGGGCAAGUGUUGUUCGGAAUUACUGGGCGUAAAGGGCUCGUAGGCGGCCAACUAAGUCAGACGUGAAAUCCCUCGGCUUAACCGGGGAACUGCAUCUGAUACUGGAUGGCUUGAGUUCGGGAGAGGGAUGCGGAAUUCCAGGUGUAGCGGUGAAAUGCGUAGAUAUCUGGAGGAACACCGGUGGCGAAGGCGGCAUCCUGGACCGACACUGACGCUGAGGAGCGAAAGCCAGGGGAGCAAACGGG
rnacentral:rRNA from 1 species